UACGAAGGGGGCUAGCGUUGCUCGGAAUCACUGGGCGUAAAGGGUGCGUAGGCGGGUCUUUAAGUCAGGGGUGAAAUCCUGGAGCUCAACUCCAGAACUGCCUUUGAUACUGAGGAUCUUGAGUUCGGGAGAGGUGAGUGGAACUGCGAGUGUAGAGGUGAAAUUCGUAGAUAUUCGCAAGAACACCAGUGGCGAAGGCGGCUCACUGGCCCGAUACUGACGCUGAGGCACGAAAGCGUGGGAGCGAACGAG
rnacentral:rRNA from 1 species